CUGUCACAACGGCUUCCUGGCGUGACGGGCAGAUCAUAACGGAGCA
rnacentral:ncRNA from 1 species